rnacentral:rRNA from 1 species
AACGAACGCUGGCGGCAUGCCUAAUACAUGCAAGUCGAACGAGUGCCUUCGGGUGCUAGUGGCGCACGGGUGCGUAACGCGUGGGAAUCUGCCCUUGGGUUCGGAAUAACUUCGGGAAACUGAAGCUAAUACCGGAUGAUAUCGAAAGAUCAAAGAUUUAUCGCCCAGGGAUGAGCCCGCGUAGGAUUAGCUAGUUGGUGGGGUAAAGGCUCACCAAGGCGACGAUCCUUAGCUGGUCUGAGAGGAUGAUCAGCCACACUGGGACUGAGACACGGCCCAGACUCCUACGGGAGGCAGCAGUAUGGAAUAUUGGACAAUGGGGGCAACCCUGAUCCAGCAAUGCCGCGUGAGUGAUGAAGGCCUUAGGGUUGUAAAGCUCUUUUACCCGAGAUGAUAAUGACAGUAUCGGGAGAAUAAGCUCCGGCUAACUCCGUGCCAGCAGCCGCGGUAACAC